rnacentral:rRNA from 1 species
ACUCAAUAGAUACCCUGGUAGUCCACGCCCUAAACGAUGUCUACUAGUUGUCGGGUCUUAAUUGACUUGGUAAACGCAGCUAAACGCGUGAAGUAGACCGCCUGGGGAGUACGGUCGCAAGAUUAAAACUCAAAGGAAUUGACGGGGACCCGCACAAGCGGUGGAUGAUGUGGAUUAAAUUCGAUGCAACGCGAAAAACCUUACCUACCCUUGACAUGGAUGGAAUCCCUGAGAGAUUGGGGAGUGCUCGAAAGAGAACCAUUACACAGGUGCUGCAUGGCUGUCGUCAGCUCGUGUCGUGAGAUGUUGGGUUAAGUCCCGCAACGAGCGCAACCCUUGUCAUUAGUUGCUACGAAAGGGCACUCUAAUGAGACUGCCGGUGACAAACCGGAGGAAGGUGGGGAUGACGUCAAGUCCUCAUGGCCCUUAUGGGUAGGGCUUCACACGUCAUACAAUGGUACAUACAGAGGGCCGCCAACCCGCGAGGGGAGCUAAUCCCAGAAAGCGUAUCGUAGUCCGGAUUGUAGUCUGCAACUCG